GGCCAGCGUUUGUGUUUCGGUCGUGGCGGAUCCCGCUGCGAUUUGUGCUUGAAUCCCGGCGGACGGCAUGGGUUGGUCUCAGAAUUUGUUCCGCGCCUUAUGGAGAGCGCUGUCAAAGGAAGCGAAGCAGCAAGUAGGCACAGACCAGUUUGGGAACAAAUACUACUAUGUCCCGGAAUACAAGAACUGGAGAGGACAAACUAUUCGAGAGAAAAGAAUUGUAGAAGCAGCAAAUAAAAGAGAAGUAGACUAUGAAGUUGGAGAUAUCCCAACAGAAUGGGAGGCUUGGAUUAGAAAAACAAGAAAGACUCCACCUACUAUGGAGGAAAUACUAAAGAAUGAAAAACAUAGAGAAGAAAUUAAAAUGAAAAAUCAAGAUCUUUAUGAAAAAGAAAAACUCCUUAGCAAAGGGAGCAAUGAAGAACUUUUAUCUCCACCAGUUCAAACUCAGAUCAAAGGGCAUGCCUCUGCUCCCUACUUUGGAAAGGAAGAACCCACCACGGCUCCCACCAGCACUGGUAAAACCUUUCAGCCAGGAUCCUGGAUGCCACAACGGGGCAAGAACCCCAAUCAAUGAAUAUACUGAAGAUUUUGGAUAAAAUAUUAUCAAGGAAGCUAAGGACACCUGGGUUGUAUUGAAAGCACACCAUCAUGAAAUCAGAAGGCCAGAAUUUGAAUUCCGGUUACUCACAAAUAUUGUAAGGAUUUGGGAAAUUUAGAGAACUAAAAGGCCCAAAGAAGAGAUUUAACCAAAGAACCAAAGUCAGAGAAAGUGAAUUUGGGAAUCUUAGUAACUGAGAAAUCAAAUCCAUUCUUUCUGAUAUUCCAUUGUUUUCUCUGCUCAUGGAUUCUCACCACAGGACAAGCAAGUAAUCUCUACAGCUGACAUGGUGAGAACUCAUGACCCCGAGAUCUAGAGUUGCAUGCUCUACUGAGUGAGCCAGCCAGGUGCCCCUGA